rnacentral:tRNA from 1 species
UUCUCAAUAGCUUAGUGGUAAAGCAGUCGACUAUUAAUGGUCAUAGGUUCAAAUCCUACUUGGGGAG